rnacentral:rRNA from 1 species
GCAGUCGACGGCAGCACGGACUUCGGUCUGGUGGCGAGUGGCGAACGGGUGAGUAAUAUAUCGGAACGUGCCCAGUCGUGGGGGAUAACGUAGUGAAAAUUACGCUAAUACCGCAUACGAUCUAAGGAUGAAAGCGGGGGAUCGCAAGACCUCGCGCGAUUGGAGCGGCCGAUAUCAGAUUAGGUAGUUGGUGAGGUAAAGGCUCACCAAGCCAACGAUCUGUAGCUGGUCUGAGAGGACGACCAGCCACACUGGAACUGAGACACGGUCCAGACUCCUACGGGAGGCAGCAGUGGGGAAUUUUGGACAAUGGACGCAAGUCUGAUCCAGCCAUUCCGCGUGCAGGACGAAGGCCUUCGGGUUGUAAACUGCUUUUGUACAGAACGAAAAGGUCUCUAUUAAUACUAGGGGCUCAUGACGGUACUGUAAGAAUAAGCACCGGCUAACUACGUGCCAGCAGCCGCGGUAAUACGUAGGGUGCAAGCGUUAAUCGGAAUUACUGGGCGUAAAGCGUGCGCAGGCGGCUAUAUAAGACAGAUGUGAAAUCCCCGGGCUCAACCUGGGAACUGCAUUUGUGACUGUAUAGCUGGAGUGCGGCAGAGGGGGAUGGAAUUCCGCGUGUAGCAGUGAAAUGCGUAGAUAUGCGGAGGAACACCGAUGGCGAAGGCAAUCCCCUGGGCCUGCACUGACGCUCAUGCACGAAAGCGUGGGGAGCAAACAGGAUUAGAUACCCUGGUAGUCACGCCCUAACGAUGUCACUGGUUGUGGGUCU